GGGCCUGUAGCUCAGAAGAUUAGAGUACGUGGCUACGAACCACGGUGUCGGGGGUUCGAAUCCUCCUCGCCCA
rnacentral:tRNA from 1 species